rnacentral:rRNA from 1 species
GAUGAACGCUGGCGGCGUGCCUAAUACAUGCAAGUCGAGCGAACAGACGAGGAGCUUGCUCCUCUGACGUUAGCGGCGGACGGGUGAGUAACACGUGGAUAACCUACCUAUAAGACUGGGAUAACUUCGGGAAACCGGAGCUAAUACCGGAUAAUAUAUUGAACCGCAUGGUUCAAUAGUGAAAGACGGUUUUGCUGUCACUUAUAGAUGGAUCCGCGCCGCAUUAGCUAGUUGGUAAGGUAACGGCUUACCAAGGCAACGAUGCGUAGCCGACCUGAGAGGGUGAUCAGCCACGCUGGAACUGAGACACGGUCCAGAGUCCUACGGGAGGCAGCAGUAGGGAAUCUUCCGCAAUGGGCGAAAGCCUGACGGAGCAACGCCGCGUGAGUGAUGAAGGUCUUCGGAUCGUAAAACUCUGUUAUUAGGGAAGAACAAAUGUGUAAGUAACUAUGCGCGUCUUGACGGUACCUGGUCAGAAAGCCACGGCUAACUACGUG